rnacentral:other from 1 species
GUUGAAACUUACCAAACAAAAUCCCUAUUAGGGAUUGAAAC